UCCGAAAACAGCAUUGAAAAAUGGAUGAUUACCCUUGAGGGUCGUGUCGUUUGUGAAAGUGUACAUCCAAGAUUUGUGACGGCAAUAGCAACAAUGUUCGCAAUGUACUACGUUUUUAACCUUGAAUAUCCGGAGGAGGCAAGUGGCACAUUGGAAUUCAUUCAGAGACGAUUUGUCAGGAUAAACCCUGAAAAAGGCUCGAAGACCAGCAAAGGCAAGGUUGUUUCGAAGAAGAGUGGAAGUAGUCAGCGACUGUCAAUGCAAAAGUUGCUUCCCUCCUAAAAAAUCUCAUUGAUUUUGAAUGGGAUUUUGUCUACACCUGGAUGUCCUCUCAGGCCAGAGAAAUCAGAAGCUGUAGUAACACACAGCUUUUUUUUUUUUUACCUAUUAAUAGUUUUUUUCACCUAUUAAUAGU